rnacentral:rRNA from 1 species
GGGAAUGCCUAGGCUCUCAGAGGCGAUGAAGGACGUGAUAAGCUGCGAAAAGCUGCGGGGACUGGCACAUACAGAUCGAUCCGCAGAUAUCCGAAUGGGGCAACCCAGCAUGUUGAAGACAUGUUACCCGAAAGGGGGCGAACCCAGGGAACUGAAACAUCUAAGUACCUGGAGGAAGAGAAAAUAAUAAUGAUUCCCAAAGUAGUGGCGAGCGAAAUGGGAAGAGCCCAAACCAAUGUUGUUUCGGCAAUAUUGGGGUUGUAGGACCACGACAUCGAUUGCUCAACGAAUUAGAAUGAACUGGAAAGUUCAACCAUAGAGGGUGAUAGUCCCGUAUAGGUAAGUUCGAGUUAAUGGUAGUGGUAUCCUGAGUAGCGCGGGACACGUGAAAUCCUGUGUGAAUCUGUCAGAACCAUCUGAUAAGGCUAAAUACUCCUAGAAGACCGAUAGUGCACUAGUACCGUGAGGGAAAGGUGAAAAGUACCCUGAACAAGGGAGUGAAAUAGAACCUGAAACCGGAUGCCUACAA